GCUGUAUUGCGACCGCUUGUCAUCAGAUUAGAUCGCAUGGUCAGCAGUCCCAAAUUAUGGGUGGUAACCAUGCUAAACACAAUCUUUUUUGACUAAGCAAUUCAAUAUACAAGACUAACAGCCACAUUUACUCUCCAAAAAUGGAAAAUCUGAAUAAUCUUUAUGAUCAAGCUGCAGUUAGCCUAACAACCGAUUCUGAAAUGGAUGCUGUUAUGGGUGUAUAUAGAAAAACAUCAAUCAAGAUUCUGAUUAUGCACUUAAAGCUGAGACCGAUAUC